UACGGAGGGUGCGAGCGUUGUCCGGAAUCAUUGGGCGUAAAGGGCGCGUAGGUGGCCCCUCAAGCGUGCGGUGAAAGUCAGGGGCUCAACCCCUGAUCGGCCGUGCGAACUGGGGAGCUUGAGCACUGUAGAGGCAGGCGGAAUUCCGGGUGUAGCGGUGGAAUGCGUAGAGAUCCGGAAGAACACCGGUGGCGAAGGCGGAACUUGACUGGACACAUAUUGACGCUGAGGUGCGAAAGCGUGGGGGAGCAAACAGGG
rnacentral:rRNA from 1 species